GGAGUUCGAAGUCACGUGGAAGAGGCCAGAUCGAAGAAAUCAGUGGAAUGGAGGCCGUUACGAAAGCGAAUGUGAGACAAGAGAAAGAAAAGUUUGUGUUGGAUGCUUUCGUAGAUUCAUACACUACCUACGUGAAACGAUUUAUCAACCGCUAAACAUCGAGGAACACGCCGGGCCGUUUACACCACAUAAAAUUCUUAUGGGAAAGUGUCAGGGGCCAGAACAUAAAGUUCAUGAUACAUUAGCUACUGAACAUGUAACACCUGAUCCAGGGAUAUAGACACAGUGUGGUACGAUGAAGAAAGUCAUGACACUACAGCUACUGAAGCUGCUUUAAUUGAUAAAGAUGGACCUCCAACGGGCAGAAAAAGGUAGAAGCUUAUACUUCUUCAUAGCAAGUUGAUAGCAAAAUGUAAACAGCAAAAGGUGAAAGCUGUUCAUGUUGUGAUCUACUGUGUUUUAAAUUGAAAGAAUUGGAUUUUAAGUAAAAACCUAUUUUGUUUCUCAUUAAAUAAAGGCAAUAAAAGUUGUACAUACACGAAUUACGCAAUUUAUGAUCGAAAAUGCUAGUUUAGUAUCUGAUUGUACCUAAAUUUUAAAAAUCCAAGUAAAUAAACUUUGUUAUGACUAACGUUCGCAAAUGGUCUUUCCAGCUAAGAAUUACACAAAUAUUUUAUCGAAAAUUGUAAUUUUAUAGUACCUAAAAUACCUAAUUUAAUGUUAGAACCUGAUUGUACCUAAUUUUUAAAUAUUCUAAAAAUAUCUAACUUCAUGUUAGAACUUGACUGUAUCUAAUUUUUUUAAAAAUCCAGUCAAAUAAAAUUUGUAUGACUAAACGUA